GGGGGCGUAGCUCAAUUGGCAGAGCACUGCCUUUGCAAGGCAGGGGUUCGGGGUUCAAAUCCCCGCGUCUCCACCC
rnacentral:tRNA from 1 species